CUUCCUCACGAAGCAACCUCGCGUUUCCUCUCUUCCUCCCUUCCCUAGGUUGCCGCCGCCCCCGUCCCCGCCCCCGCCCCAUCAGUGCAUCGCAGCUCCUCCGUCGUCCGCCACCAGAGAAACUCCUUCGUCGACCGCCACCAGAGAAAGCGCCCUCCUCAGAUCCACCUCUCCCCAAACCAUCCAUCAUGGUUGCAGAGGAGGGGGAGAAAGGGGAUGCCAUCGAGGUGCGGACAGAGGCCCUGCCUCGGGGCGGCGAGUUGCAGAGGAGAUUCUUUGGUCGUUUUACGCGAGGUGGGUCUGGAGAUGCGCCACAGUGGCGCGGCGUGGGUUUGCGUGCGUGCGUUGGGCGGCAGGUGGUCAAAGAACGUGGUGGCGCAGUCGCGUAACUCGAUCCCUCCACUACGCCGAGAAAUUACAUUUGGUCGCUCCAAUAGUGUAAGUGGCUAUCAAGAAACAUGUCAGGGAUCCAGCGCCUAUGUUAGGAGAUGUGCAACAUAUGUACUUUAUUGUAGGUGUUUUGUUCAGUGAAAAUUCCUCUGGAGUACUAGGAGCUUCCAUGGUUGGCAUUUAAGUCGGUUUGUCCAGAUUGUUUAUCGUUGAUAGCAAAGUAUUCCGGAGCCUCUGUGAAACACUCCCUGAAGUUGAAGAAUGGUCUAAGAUUAAUUGAGAUUUUCUUGUUGUGUGUGAUAGCAAACAUGGAUUGGUCAAGGAUUCUGCAAUGUUUGCUUGAAAUUUGCUCUGGAGAUCCAUGGUGGUAGGGAUUCAGCUCCUGUUAAUAAUAUAUAUCCAGCACCCGACAUGAAACUAUUGUUAAUGAAAGUUGUGGCACUAGGUCAAACAUUAUGUUGUUCCCGUAUUACAUUGGAGAAUAUUCAGGAUGUUUCUAUAGGGACUAUGAGAAAUUCAGCUUUCCAAAAUAGUGGAGUGAUACUUGCAGCAACAAGUGUUCAUUGGAUAAUGGCUCCAGCUAAGGAAUUGAAGAGAAUUCUUGGCCCAAUUUUAUUUACUCUGUGUUCAUCCCCUGACGCAACAUACCCGGCACAGGAAUUAAAGACAGGAUCGCUAAGUUGACUAGCCUAUUAAACACAAUAAGGGUCGCUACAAGGGCGAGCGCUCGUUUUGAACACCUCUCCAUUUUUUACUGUGCCGGGUUUUACUGUAGCGACGAAGGGAGAAACAAAUCGAGCGACUCUUCCCCUCGCCAAUGCCCUCUUUUGUUUUCUCCUCCCACAGCUAGGGUUAGUGCCGCCGCCGCUGCUGCCGCCCUUCCCGCCCUCGUGCGCUCUCCAUCUCCGGUCGGGAGCUCCACCUCCUCCAAUCCCUGCCUGUGCUCUGUGUCUCCUUCCCUUUUGAUUUAAUCUCUGUUAUCUUGGUUUGUGCAGAUUCUUUUGUAUAUAGUCUAUAAGGUGUUUGAUGAAAUGCAAGAAGGCAGCUGGGGACGAGAUCUGCCUGCAGAGGUUGUUGCUUUACCAUCACUGUUCUUGUGUCGUGCCUAAUGGGAUAUUGAAAUAUGGAUACCACAAAUUAAAGUGACAUUGGUGAUUCACACCGACAAGCCAUAUGAUGGAGUAUGGGAGGCUUUAGAUGUGGCUGCAUGGAAGCGUUUGUCAAGUUGGUCAGUGACCAGUUCUGCUCGCUGUUUUCAGAAAGUAAAAUGUGCGAAGAUACAACAUUGAUGACGGGCUUGCGACUCUCAACGCCCUCGACCCCCACCAUUCCUCUCUCUCCAUUUUGGUCUCGUCCGCUAUCCACUAGAUAGGAAGACAAACAGGUGCUUCCUCUAGCCUGCUCCACGUAGGUUUUAGUUUUACAGUGAAAAGCUGGACAAUUUGUGAUGGCGAUGAAAGGACUGAAGGAUUUGCUCAAAGCAAAGGCGUCUAGCCGGGAUACAUAUGUCUAUUAUUGCCGUUGUUUUCUUGGGAGUACUUCAGAAGGUGCAGUUGGGAAGGUGAGGACACGCCAUGGCAGAGGCGCGUGGUUGGCAAGAGGAGUCAGUGAGGCAUGCCGGUGGACAUGUGGAUGCUUUAUCAUGGCAUUGACACAUUUCACUCCACCGACACUGCAUACCAACGUGAGGCCUUAGAUGCUCUGUUCCUUCUGUGAUAGGUUGCAUUAUACUGAGAAAGUGAGGUAUUACUUAUUGGUUGGAGUGGUUCAUCUUGUUUCCCGGCAUCAAUGACGCGUGUCUGGUCAUGACUCAAGGCAGUAUUCAUGGCUAUGGGUUAGCCAUAUGCCCCAAGAACUCCAAAUGGCUCUAGAAAAUCUAAGUGGCGAGUCUUUUUUGAUUUGUUUAACUACCAAAUGAAGCUAUCAUCGUUAUUCUUUGGAUAUUUGCUGAUCAAAUUAGCAACAUGAUGUUACUAGGUUCUUACAGUUACACGUUACAUUUUCAACACUCAUGGUGUGCAGUGUGUAUACAAGGCACCUUAGUCCUUCAGUCGAUUUGAGUAUUUAAAAUAAAAUCAUCAAGUAGUUAUUUUGUUAUUUUGUAAAAUAUACAAUCUAGAUUUCUAGCUUCCAUGAGGCACAUGAUGUCUCUUCCAGCAUUCUAAUUUUCUCGUAAGUUUUGAUUCAUGAACCUAGCAUGAUCUUCUAUGAUUGUGUGACUGUCAUCUCCUUAUUUUUCCUAAACUGGUGCUAGGUUUUGAACUAUUGUUGCAUAUACACCAUAAGUUAUGCUCCUUUAAUAUGAAUUUUUCUUCUAAAAGACUACUGGGUGAUCUAUGCGAAAUAUGUUCCGGAGAAGUUUAAGCUCCUUCUCAUCUUAGCUAAUUGAAAUGUUUCAAAGUAAUCUGGAAUGGUUUUGGUCAAAAUUUGUGCUCUCAUAGUCAUUGUUCUUCUUAACUAUCCCAACUCCCAUUUUACUGUUUCUAGGUGUGAGUAAAACUGAAAUUUAUAGUUUCAUACCUAAAGUUAUAUUUGGUAGUCAUUUAGCAAAGUCAUUGUUGCUCUAUAUCUGUAUACCCUUUGAAUAAUUGUUAAUUGUAUGAGAACAUUUUAUUGCAGCGCCCCUGUUUUUAUUU